GUUCGGCCCGUGCAGCUAGAAAACCACUUACCAUUAUCUAAAAAAUAAAUCAGGGCGUACCAGUGGCACGCUGCAACUCUCCCGGCGCGCGGCCGGCGAGGGCCUUGCAUCGGCGGCGAAGGGGAGCGAGAAGGAGGCCGCGCGCUUCUUCUCGUUCCUCCCUCACCGGCGGCGGCCAUCCCAUUCGAGGCGGCUCGAUCUGGUUCGGUUCGGUUCGGUGGAGACCACCCCUCGUCCAUCCCGCGCUGCCGCUCACUAGCCACCAACCAGGCAGUGGCCGUCGCCGUCGCCCAUUGCCAUUACCGGCUAGCCUGUUCGCUGUUGCUCUAGGUAUACGAUCAGGCUGGCUGUCUGUUACGGUACCGUUGAUCCCCUUAUCAACAUUGUCCUCUUGUUGAUCGAUUCCCUUAUUUCAGUUGUUAUAAAUAUUGAUGACUACCUAUGUAGCAGUGGUCUUUGAGCUCCUCGCAGCAAUUAUUGUCACUUGUGCCUAUGUUGUUUGAUCAUUGAUUUAUCUUAACAGCUUAAAACUAUAACAGUGAAUCCAACCGGCAAAUCAAUACAUAAGAUCUUGAAUAGUUUGCACAACUUUUUUUAUUUUAUGACUCACCGCAAAUUAUUUCCUUUGUCUUUAUAACCAUACGUCUUUGUGAAGUCUGAAAUGUUCUGGUAAAUCUUUCAAUAAUAAUAAAGCACGGGUUGAGUCUCUCGGGUUCACCGUCACAAUACGCUUCUUCCCGUGAGUUUACGCUUUCACUUUGAAUUGAAAACAUAUAUGCGAGGUGGUACUAAUUCGCACGUCGCCUUCCGCUGCUGUACCAACCAAACCCGGUACGUAUCAACCAGCUCGCAUGGGCCUCAGCCCAUCAAACAAAUUCAGCAAACUGUGGACCGUGCAGGCUGACGAGAGGACGCAAAAAAAAUUUCGGCGAAACUCGCGAACGGGGCAUCCAACUGAGCUAACCCAUGAUUCUGUGCAAAGGAGAAUUUGAUUACCUAUUUUAUAUCCCACAUCGCUCCCUUACGAACAGAUAAACCAAUUUAAAUACGGCUGCAAGUUAAAAUCAAUAAGCCAACUGGGACCAACAGGCAAGUGUGGGCAGAGGAAUUAAAACUGAGGGGAAAGAUGGAUGGAUCAAUCCGACCAGUCGAAAGAAUCGACCCAUGUGGAGCAAAGCACGCGUUGGGAAUAGCUGGAGCGAGGCUGGCGCUGGUCGCCGGCAGGAGGGGGAAGCAGAGGAGUGGGAAUUUAGAGGGCGGCGGCGUCCUGGUCGCCGGCAGGGGUAACAGAGGAGAGGAGUGGCGCGUGGGGCCCCGUCAACGGCAAAGGGUGGCGGUGCCAUGGUGCUGGUCGCCGGCGGGAGGAAGCAGAGGCGAGGCGCACCGCGCGGGGCUCCCGCUCCUCUCUGUGUGCGUGUGUGGCCGCGCUGGGGAUUGGGAGGGACUGCAGAGGAGUUGGGAUCGGGGGGAUAGAUGCGGCUGGGCCUUAGUGGGCCGGUUGGCCCAGCUUGGCUCGCUCUCUCUUUCCCAUUUUCUCUCUUUUGCCAUUUACAGAAAUUAGUAAUAAUGAUGGAAAAAGAAAUGGCUAGGGUGUGUGGAAAUAUAUGAAACUUUUCCUGUGGUGUCCAUGAUUUAUACUUAGCCCCAGACAAGAAGUUUCACAUAAAUUGGUAAGUUAAAUUCAAACUCAUUAGAAUUUAUAUCAAAUGGGUUUGAAUUAGGUCUAGGCUUUAGGAUUGUGCAAAAAACAUGAGAUUUUUGGUGGAGUGUGAUAAAAUAAUUUUGGACAAAGUUUUGGGGGCCAAACUGCAAGGCAUUUUGGAGAAGGUUGGAAUGGAAAUUGGAAAAGCAAUUAAAUAAAAUACAAGGAAAGCUCAAAUGAUUUUAUGAAAAUCUUCAUAGUCAUGGUUAUUGAGUUAGGGCCGUGCGGUAUUUUCUUCUUCCGUUGCAACGCACGGGCUCUUUUGCUAGUAUGAUAUCUAUUUCAGUGUUUUUGCCUUUAGCAUGGACACUUGAAAAUAUGUGGAGGAAAGUAGGGGAAAUGACCGACACUACUGGAAGAAUUCUUCUUUGUAUCAUAUAUUAUCUUGCCCUGUCACAGCAUGUAACAAGUAUUGGCACAAUCAAGCUGGAUACUGGACAAUUCAAGAUUUCAAAUGGUCCUGAUUGCCUCCAAGAAACAGCAAGAGGAAGCACUGACUAACAAGUAACAUGCUGCAAUAUCAUCUGAACCAAAGGUUAUGGCAUUGAUGCUGGACGCCUUCAGUUGUCAUGGAAGCUUUGUUUGUAAGCCAUCUCCGUGUAACUUAAUAAGGGCCUAGAUGACAGCUUGGAACCUGGGACAAACAUAUAGAUAUAACCUCGUCCAAUAUGUGGCAGUUAGUUUGCAAGUGAGUUAACAGAAGGAUUGUGGCAAAUUAAAUUUGUGAAUAAUCGCAUUUACAAUACAUUGAACAAAGUUCUAGCCCUGUUGUUUGUCCAUGUAUUUUUGUUCUGUUUAUUAGUCCUUUUUUAGCCUUGUUUUUGUGUACUGGUCCAUUGACCACUCCUUCAGUGGAAUCGCAGCAGUUCUCCUUCUGUCUUUCAAAAAACACUAGGACAAUGCCCGUGCGUUGCAACGGGAUAUAGUUAUUCUAGUGAUUUAUCUGCCCAUAUUAAUGCGAUGGUGUAAAUAAAUGUUUAUCAAAUCCUGCCUGUGAUUUUUGAUGACAAGUUUGGUAAGAAUAUUAAAUUGGAAUUGGUUCAGAAGGUAAGUAGAUUAAGGUGAUUGAUUGUCAUACGGGGAAGGUUAGACGAAGGGGUGGUGGGAACAAAAAUGAAACAUGGAACCUUGCAUUCUUUUUAAGUAGUAGAGAUAAAAAAAUAUGUUGAACACAAGCAGUCUGCUACUCAAGUUUUCCUGGGGUUUUUGCUUCCUUGUUGCAUCGCCAAACUUUCGUCCAACCCAGUAUCCUUUGCUCCUCUACGAUGGCUGCUUCUCCAGUAGGAUAAGCACUUGUGUUUGAGUUGUCCGGUUUUUUUGCCUGUAAUUUAUCUCAGGUGUCAAUUAAUGUAAGAUGACUUAGAGUUCUGCAGCUGCCAUACAACAUCUUUGUUUGGGUAGGUUCUAAUGCUGAAGUUAAUAAAUCUUUGUUUGGGCCGGUAACUUAAGCUUCUGUGCUGAACUUAAUAAAUCUUUGUUUUGGCUGGUAAUUUGAGCUUCUGUGCUGAACUUAAUAAAGCUUUGUUGGCAAAUUUUAGCAUGCUCCCUCUUACCUCCUUUUUUACAUGAGAGGUAAGAGUACAUAAUAGAUCUGAGCCAUUGAUUUGAUUAACUAGUGGUCUGAUUAACUCUUACCUUCUUACCUCUUAUGUGAAAAGAGGGGGUAAGAGGGAGCAUGUUAAAAUUACUCAUCUUUGUUUCGGCUGAUAACUUAAGCUUUUAUGCUGAACUUACAAAAUGACUUUUCAUCAGUUAAAAAGAAUAAAAGCAAAGGAGUCAGGAGCUUUUUAGAAGUGACAAUUACUUGGCACGGCUGAAUGCUAGAAACUGUGUUCCAUGAAGGGUUGAUUGGGAAUAUGUUUUUUUCUGCCAUGCAGUACAAUCCUUAGUUUGUCUUUUGCUGAUCUUCGUUUUUUCUUGAAUUCUUAAAUAUAGUGACAGCCUCUGCAUAUACUCUGCUGAGUACUAGCAACUCUUUCCAAGACAGUGAUUAAGACAUCGAUGACCUUAGGAAGGCAUUGGUGUAUUUGCAAGUUAAGUUGAAUGAAGCAAUGAUAAUUUAUUUGGAGGAUCAAUCCAGGUGAGCAUGAUUGAAAGGGUCGGCUAUAUCGACGUGACAUAUGUGCAACAUAAGAUAAGGAUACCAAACUCAAGCACUAUAUGAGUACGAUUUUUUGUAUCCAUUGAUUUCGUGUUUAGACAGCUUAAAUACGGAACCUGCUAUCAUUGAGAUGUAAUACCACUUAUGUCAUCAAGCAGUAUCCUGGGUACGUACUGAGUCUAUUCACUGUCCUCUCUACACUAAAUAGAGUAUAAUGUUGCUGAAUUAUCCGUCUCUCGAGCUUCUCAGUGUCAGACAUCAAGUAUAAAAAUUCUGUAUGCACUAGCUAGACUGACAGAUGUUCGUAAUGAUCUCAUGAGGAUUUAUGCUUAUGAUGUGAUGAUCUGUUUGGAAUCUGGACUGCAUCCUUUCUAUUUCAUCUGUUAUCAUGAAGUCUAUACUCCAGUGACUUCUGUCCAAAUGUUUAUUUCAGGUGAAAGAAUCUUACACUGACAUCUGCUAUUUGGGUAGCUGCUUGGCUCGUAUGAGCACUGAUGCAUAUCAACCCACGAGCUAUGUGAGGCCCAGCUUGCCCAGUGCCAGCUCUUCAGUUGCCUCGUUGUCGAGCGUCAACAAUCUUGCGUGAGUCAUAGAAAUCCCAAGGCGGUGUACAUUUGCGUAUGGAAGUCCAAUCUGAUUGUUCAAGAAACCUGUGUUAUUAUGGCGUUCAUGUGUACACACACAGGGGCAACCAAAUUGGCUGGCCCUCUUUCAUUGUGGCCGUUGAAGUAUUGUUGUCAACAGUUGGUCCUAACUUCACUUGUUGGGUAGGCGCUGGCUCAAAAGGUUAAUGGAGUACACCAAUAUAACUUUGUACAGAUGCACACCGCACAAUUGGUUAUGGAGUGUCAACAGUUGGCAAAGAUUAACACGCCAAGCCAAUGACAGCUCCCGUCCUGGACGCUAACAGUCUUGGAUUUUUGUCGCAACAGAAAAUGGUCCUGCUCCCAGCCCAGCCAUAAUCAGGAUAGAGCCAGUUCAUGCUUUCCUCUCAAGAAAGAAGCUUCCUUUUCUCCUCAGACAUGGCCAGGCUAAUCCGCUGUAAAUGACUGGGGUACUACAUGCAGUGCAGGCGUUAGGAGCGGAGCGGUUGGUUGAUCCGCGGUUUGGUUUGGCAUUUGUCCAAGACAGGGAAGGGAAUCCAAAUCCAGGCUCUGAUCUGCUGGGAUCGAUGCUGUUUCUUCAGGGGCAAGUGAUCGAAGCCCGUCCGUCAUGAUUUUUUACCAGCUUCAGAGUCACGCCUUGGCAUGUGAUCUGAUCGGAGGUAUGCAAGAUUUGUGGCUGAUCAUCUUGUGGUCCAGAUGCACAAGCUAACUGGAUUUGUGGUUUAUCUUGCAAGGAACGAUGGGUCUAGUAUUGAAUUAGUUGCUUCCAAGUUUGAAAACGACAAAGGUAAAAAAAGAUGGAGAGAAAGAUGUUUAGAUCGUCUCCAGCACAGCGGGACCAUGAGAGAUGAUUCUUCGCUGGACCAUAAUCUCGUAAUGAUACCUUACAUCGCUACGCUAGGAGUCACUUUAAUAUCCAUCUAUACACCUCUCUGUUAACUUAAUUUGCUUUUCCCAAUGUAUUAACUUAGUUAAUUAUGAACUGUGAUAUUGUAAUUCACACGACCUCUCAGUAUGCCCAUUAUUAAAGUAAUACCCCUCUGUAAUUUCUUAUAAGACAUUUUUAGAGUCCAUGACACUGUCAAAAAACUAUUGAAUUCA